GACUAUGGCCAUGCCACCCUGAACAAGCCCGAUGUCUGAUCUUGGAAGCUAAGCAGGUUAGGGCUUGGUUAGUACUUGCAUGGGAGACCACUUAGGAAGACCAGGUGCUGUAGGCA
rnacentral:rRNA from 1 species